GAGGUGUGGACCUCUGGGGAACCUACCUGAAGAGAUUGUCAUGAACUGUUAGGGGCUCUAGGGAACCUGGAUGCUUGGAUCUGCAUGAUCUGACAGAGUGAGGAAUGGCAGGCAGGCAAGCCCAGCGAGGUACUGCAAGGCAGCAGCCUGAGGCUCAGGAGCAAAGUCUGGGAGGCAAGAACAGAGCUCACAGCUAACUCCUUACAUAAUUACUGGUGCCUCUGAACUUUACAAAGACGCGGGAGAAGGAACCCACUGGAAGCUGAUUCAGCUUAGACAGGAGGAGGUCUCUAUGCAGACUUGGCCAAGACACAAAAACAGGAAGAUCGCAGGACCCAAUACCAGUUCUGGAGACCCUGGCUGCACAUACACUUUCUAAGGGUUCAAGUUAGCUGUGCAGUGCAAGCAAGCAGUCUCUCACAAAUGGAAAGAGGCCACGGCACCUAUACAUCCCAGAGAAACUAUGACACAGCUCAUUUCUCCUCCCUAGCAGGCACUCAUGCAAGCAAACACCCCUGCUGGCUGAUCUCGCACCCAUCCACAAGCCACUUGUCAUAAUUCAAGGACCCAAAACAAACAAGCCACCCCUGAGACACAUUCUGGCUGCAAGCAGCACCCCAUUCCUGGGGGAAGGGCACUCUAUACUGCACCCCCCUCCCGGGAGGGGGUGUCUUUGCCAGAA
rnacentral:lncRNA from 1 species